rnacentral:rRNA from 1 species
AUUGAACGCUGGCGGCAGGCCUAACACAUGCAAGUCGAGCGGAUGAAAGGGGCUUGCUCCUGGAUUCAGCGGCGGACGGGUGAGUAAUGCGCAGGAAUCUACCUCGUAGUGGGGGAUAACGUCUCGAAAGGGGCGCUAAUACCGCAUACGUUCUGAGGAAGAAAGCAGGGGACCUUCGGGCCUUGCGCUAUGAGAUGAGCUUGCGUCCGAUUAGCUAGUUGGUGGGGUAAAGGCCUACCAAGGCGACGAUCGGUAACUGGUCUGAGAGGAUGAUCAGUCACACUGGAACUGAGACACGGUCCAGACUCCUACGGGGAGGCAGCAGUGGGGAAUAUUGGACAAUGGGGGCAACCCUGAUCCAGCCAUGCCGCGUGUGUGAAGAAGGCCUUCGGUUGGUUAAAGGAC